rnacentral:rRNA from 1 species
GUAGCUAAUACCGCAUAACGUCGCAAGACCAAAGAGGGGGACCUUCGGGCCUCUUGCCAUCAGAUGUGCCCAGAUGGGAUUAGCUAGUAGGUGGGGUAACGGCUCACCUAGGCGACGAUCCCUAGCUGGUCUGAGAGGAUGACCAGCCACACUGGAACUGAGAAACGGUCCAGACUCCUACGGGAGGCAGCAGUGGGGAAUAUGUCACAAUGGGCGCAAGCCUGAUGCAGCCAUGUUGCGUGUAUGAAGAAGGCCUUCGGGUUGUAAAGUACUUUCAGCGAGGAGGAAGGCGUUAAGGUUAAUAACCUUGGCGAUUGACGUUACCCGCAGAAGAAGCACCGGCUAACUCCGUGCCAGCAGCCGCGGUAAUACGGAGGGUGCAAGCGUUAAUCGGAAUUACUGGGCGUAAAGCGCACGCAGGCGGUCUGUCAAGUCGGAUGUGAACCAUCC